UACGGGGGGAGCAAGCGUUGUUCGGAUUUACUGGGCGUAAAGGGCGCGUAGGCGGCGCAACAAGUCACUUGUGAAAUCUCCGGGCUUAACCCGGAGCGGCCAAGUGAUACUGUCGUGCUAGAGUGCGGAAGGGGCUACUGGAAUUCUCGGUGUAGCGGUGAAAUGCGUAGAUAUCAGGAGGAACACCGAUGGCGAAGGCAGGUCUCUGGGCCGAUACUGACGCUGAGGCGCGAAAGCCAGGGGAGCAAACGGG
rnacentral:rRNA from 1 species